rnacentral:rRNA from 1 species
AUUGAAUGCUGGCGGCAUGCCUUACACAUGCAAGUCGAACGGCAGCACGGGAGCAAUCCUGGUGGCGAGUGGCGAACGGGUGAGUAACAUAUCGGAACGUGCCCAGUAGUGGGGGAUAACCCGGCGAAAGCCGGACUAAUACCGCAUACGACCUACGGGUGAAAGCAGGGGAUCGCAAGACCUUGCGCUAUCGGAGCGGCCGAUAUCAGAUUAGCUUGUUGGUGGGGUAAAAGCCUACCAAGGCGACGAUCUGUAGCUGGUCUGAGAGGAUGAUCAGCCACACUGGGACUGAGACACGGCCCAGACUCCUACGGGAGGCAGCAGUGGGGAAUCUUAGACAAUGGGCGCAAGCCUGAUCUAGCCAUGCCGCGUGAGCGAUGAAGGCCUUAGGGUUGUAAAGCUCUUUCGUGGGGGAAGAUAAUGACUGUACCCCAAGAAGAAGCCCCGGCUAACUCCGUGCCAGCAGCCGCGGUAAAGUCGA